rnacentral:rRNA from 1 species
UACGGAGGGUGCAAGCGUUGUCCGGAAUCACUGGGCGUAAAGCGUGCGCAGGCGGUUUUGUAAGUCUGUCGUGAAAUCCCCGGGCUCAACCUGGGAAUUGCGAUGGAGACUGCAAGGCUAGAAUCUGGCAGAGGGGGGUAGAAUUCCACGUGUGAGCAGUGAAAUGCGUAGAGAUGUGGAGGAACACCGAUGGCGAAGGCAGCCCCCUGGGUCAAGAUUGACGCUCAUGCACGAAAGGCGUGGGGAGCAAACAGG